rnacentral:rRNA from 1 species
GAGUUUGAUCCUGGCUCAGGAUGAACGCUAGCGGCAGGCUUAACACAUGCAAGUCGAGGGGUAACGGGGAAGCUUGCUUCCGCCGACGACCGGCGCACGGGUGCGUAACGCGUAUACAAUCUACCUUAUACUGGGGUAUAGCCUUUAGAAAUGAAGAUUAAUCCCCCAUAGUCUCUUAAAGUGGCAUCACUUAAGGAGUAAAGGUUACGGUAUAAGAUGAGUAUGCGUUCUAUUAGUUUGUUGGUGUGGUAACGGCACACCAAGACUACGAUAGAUAGGGGCCCUGAGAGGGGGAUCCCCCACACUGGUACUGAGACACGGACCAGACUCCUACGGGAGGCAGCAGUGAGGAAUAUUGGACAAUGGAGGCAACUCUGAUCCAGCCAUGCCGCGUGCAGGAUGACUGCCCUAUGGGUUGUAAACUGCUUUUAUACAGGAAGAAACUUACACACGUGUGUGUAACUGACGGUACUGUAAGAAUAAGGAUCGGCUAACUCCGUGCCAGCAGCCGCGGUAAUACGGAGGAUCCAAGCGUUAUCCGGAAUCAUUGGGUUUAAAGGGUCCGUAGGUUGAUAAUUAAGUCAGAGGUGAAAUCUUGCAGCUCAACUGUAAAAUUGCCUUUGAUACUGGUUAUCUUGAGUUAUUAUGAAGUAGUUAGAAUAUGUAGUGUAGCGGUGAAAUGCAUAGAUAUUACAUAGAAUACCAAUUGCGAAGGCAGAUUACUAAUAAUCAACUGACACUGAUGGACGAAAGCGUGGGUAGCGAACAGGAUUAGAUACCCUGGUAGUCCACGCCGUAAACGAUGGUUACUAGCUGUUUGGACCUUGUGUCUGAGUGGCUAAGCGAAAGUGAUA